UACGUAGGGGGGCAAGCGUUGUCCGGAUUUAUUGGGCGUAAAGAGCGUGUAGGCGGUUAGGUAGGUCCGUUGUGAAAACUCGAGGCUCAACCUCGAGACGCCGAUGGAAACCAUCUGACUAGAGUCCGGAAGAGGAGAGUGGAAUUCCUGGUGUAGCGGUGAAAUGCGCAGAUAUCAGGAAGAACACCCGUGGCUAAGGCGGCUCUCUAGUACGGUACUGACGCUGAGACGCGAAAGCGUGGGGAGCGAACAGG
rnacentral:rRNA from 1 species